rnacentral:rRNA from 1 species
UUGAUCCUGGCUCAGAAUCAACGCUGGCGGCGUGCCUAACACAUGCAAGUCGAACGCGAAAACCCCGAAAGGGGUUAGUAGAGUGGCAAACGGGUGAGUUACACGUGGGUGACCUGCCUUAGAGUGGGGGAUAACGUCCCGAAAGGGACUCUAAUACCGCAUAACAUCCUGCCUUUGAAGAGGUGGUGAUCAAAGCUGGUGACCGCAAGGCCCGGCGCUUAAAGAGGGGCCCGCGCCUGAUUAGCUAGUUGGUGGGGUAAUGGCUCACCAAGGCAACGAUCAGUAUCCGGCCUGAGAGGUCGGACGGACACACUGGGACUGAGACACGGCCCAGACUCCUACGGGAGGCUGCAGUGGGGAAUUGUUCGCAAUGGGCGCAAGCCUGACGACGCAACGCCGUGUGGAGGAUGAAGACCUUCGGGUCGUAAACUCCUUUCGAUCGAGACGAAUGGCUUCAGGGUUAACAGCCCUGGGGAAUGACGGUACCGAGAGAAGAAGCUCCGGCUAACUCCGUGCCAGCAGCCGCGGUAAUAAGGU